rnacentral:rRNA from 1 species
UCUUACGGCCAUACCACCUUGAAAGCACCAGUUCUCGUCCGAUCACUGAAGUUCAGCAACGUCGGGCUCGGUUAGUAUGACAUUUUACCAUUUACCGGUUUACCAAAAAUU